UGGUAACUCAGUGAAUAGAGCGUCGGGCUCUUAUUCACUGGUCGCGGGUUCGAUCCCCGCCAGGUCAG